rnacentral:lncRNA from 1 species
GUGCCGGUGGGGUUGAUGGCCCAGGCGAUCCAUCCGGCGGGCUUGGCCGGCGGCGCGACGAAGGCGACGGCGAGGGUGGAGUUGGCGGUGUCGUAGGACCAGUGGAGGUAGGAGCUGAGGGUGGGGAGGUCGGCGCAUUGUGAGUAGAGCUUUUUGUUGGAGAAGAACUGGGAGGUGCAGGUGAGGGAAUGCGCGGGUGAGAUCAGGAGAAUAACAGUCAGUGAGAUUAGCGUGGCAAUGUUCUGGUAAUUAGCAACAGAAGAUGAUGAAGAAGAAGAAGCCAUUGUUGGGGAAGACAAAGGCUUUUCCCACUAAAAUUUUGGCGCAAUAUAUAGAUCAAAGAGAGGGGGAUUCGAGUGUGGGCUAGUCUUCUGAGUCAAAGUGGAACCUGCGAAUGAACAUGAGGCAUGUGUUAAUGUGAUUCCCACGUGGCUUUAACACGAAGUGUGUGCAGCAGAAGUAAAUUGUGACAUUAUAAAUCCAACGACCAUGAAAUGAAUAUUGAAUGAGGGGAACCAAAAUUCAGGGGGCAAUAAAUGGAAAUUGAAUGAUGGGGAAUUAAGAAUUAAGAAAUGAAAGAUAUUGAGAGAUAGAAUGCCCAAAUUAAGGUGAGGUUGAUUUAGAUGAUCAAAGAAUCUGUUGGAAUAGGAUUUGUGUGAUUUUAGAAGUUUUACAAGUGUGGGAUUGGGAAUUGUAUGCUUUGUCCAUAGUGAUUCUCUGUUUAAUGAAAUCGCAAUCGAAAAUUCUUCUACGCAUCAAGAUGCAAGUGAAUCGAGCAACUAAUAUGCAAUAUUUUUAAUCCGGUCAUCCACGUCGCACUAGCUACAUGUAUAUAUCUUAAUACCGUUAACAAAAUUGAAACUAAAAAAAAUAGUCCUAAAUGUUUCCAACUCAAGAGGUGAGAACUUGAAGUCGAAAAAGAUGUACUCUUAUUAUGGGUAUUUAGUUUGAUCGGAUCAAAUAUUAAAAUGAAAGGAAGACAUUUAGGGUCUCUAGACUUCAUUCAAUUUUCUCAUACGAUGAUUUGAGGACUUACACAUUAAUGGUACAAGUGCACCUUGGUGCAUAAAAUCCACUCCGAUUAGAUGACAAUUGAGUUUAAAUCCUUGAUUACAAAUACCCGAAAUAAUAUUGCGAGUCUCUAUAAAAACCAGACACAAACUAGCAACGAGUGCUCUUUAGGCGCUACUCUGUUUGCUUUGAUAUAACGGUUGACAUAAUGAAAAUAUCACUUGACAUGUAACAUGAUUACAAGCUAUCCUUAAUUAUCAAUGUCCAAUUUUUGCGUUUGUAGGAUGUAAUAAGGAAAAUACAAUCUUUUUAUAAAAUAUGGUAUUUUAUUGUAAUUUUACAAUAAGGUGUUUUAGCAUUCUAAUAAAUCAAAACACUUGUGAGGUGAUCAAAUAGUUCGUACGGUGACACCCUUAACAUUUCAUUGACAAAGUUCAGAAUUCCUAUAUGGUUCAUGGUUGCAUCUAGCUGUAUGAUUAUACAUAUUGAUCCAUAACGUGCUCAUGCAAUGAACGUAAGUCUCUUUAUCGGCAACCUAAUCCCCUCCAAUAAAGGAAAUUUAGUCUAGGUUUUAGCCUCUUCUUUUUUCCAAAUCACGUUAAUUUAACUUGGAUGUUGCUAAAUGUAUCCAGUAAAUUGUUACGUAGACCCACUAAAGUUUUUACACCCAGCAAAUUGAUUCAUUUUCUAGUUACACCCAACCAUUUUUCCAAUAAUACCCUUUUCAAUAAAACCCAGCAAAACCUAUAAAUUCCCAGGGUAGUAGGAAGAAGAUCGGAAGUGCAUCACAAUUACCAACACACUCAUCUUGUAAAUUCCUAACUUUACUUUCAUAAUUUCCAUUGUGUUGGGAUCCAAAUGGAAGGAAACAUAUAUAUGGUGGAAAGAACGGUUACUCUUUCUACUACUCAUAUGUGCCGAAGCAGAGAAACUUAAAAUGUGUAAAAACAUCCUUUGGGAAGAGUUUUCAUGGUGCAGAUAUGAGGAAGGAAUAGUCUACUAUUAAUACUGUGAAUUCAAGACUGACGCGUUUAACUUUUUGGUAGCUUCAUCAGAAUUCAGUUAUUGUAAAAAGAAACUAACAUUUUAGGAAAAAAGAUCAGGAAUAUUUUUUAAAAAUUGAAUCAGUUGCUAAAAGAUUGUAGAGCGAGAGAAUAUCAUGGAUGAAGAUCAACGUGUAUGGACGUUGUAGACACGAUGAAUUCAGAAAGGAGAUUGUUGGGUUUGGGCGUGAGUUUACUCGGUGUGAAUCUUGCUUGGUUAAUUGACAGUAAGGGUAUUAUCGAAAAAAUUGUAAGAUGUAAAACUUGUUGGGUCUACAUAGCAAUUUGCUAGGUACAUUUAAAAACACCUUUUAGCUUUUUGAAUGAUUGUUAAUUUUCAAUAAGUUUUGAGGGUGAAAAGGAGGUAAAUUUUCAACAAUGCUGCUAUGAGAUGAAGGCUGACGAUGUAAACCAAAAAUGGAAGAAAAAAACUUACUUGAAAUCAAUAUAUAUGAUGUGAUGAUGAACAAACAACCGUGGCACUCAAACGCCCAGACAAACUUAGCUAGGGUUAAUUUUCUCCGACUAGGUUGCAAAUAUACUUCUUGGAUCGCCUCCUUCAAGUAGAAAUGGUGACCAAUUGAAAUGGGGAAUACUCAGGCCACCAUUUCUACCUUCGAUGUUUAACAAAGAAGAAGCAAUUAAUAAUAGAAAGAGCACAGACAUUGCAUAUCAGCUACACGUAAAAUACGGAUGUCUAACCGACGGCUACCAUUUCUUGCCUUCGGUUGACUUCAACCCGGAGCUAAGUGACAUAGAAAUGUCCUAAUUUUACGUGCAUUGUUUACUAUUUUACAUAUACGGUAAUAAAAGGAAAGUGAAAAACAACAGCAAAGCACAAGACACCAAACUGCAUGUCAGACACCAAAUUGUCAAACCUAAACAGCAAAUUUUGAAAAGAAAAAAAAAUCACCAACAAGCAACGACAACUAAACCUAAGAAUCAAAUACAGUGAGCUACUAGAUGAACAAACACCGUUACAAAAACCAAGAGUCAUGACUCAUGACGAAUGUCAGAAAAAUAUAUAUAUAUAUAUAUAUAUAUAUAUAUAUUCUUCACGAGUUGUGUUCUCAUAAUUGAUAAGAGAAUUAUGUUUGAGUUACAAGAUGAUGACCGAGUGAGCUACCAUUUUUAGGUUGUUUAGUAAUUUAUGGUAUGACCCCUCCCAAGUAAAGAUUUUACAAGCUGAGCUUCUAGAUCAGGAGAAUUCUAUUCAUCAUACCAUUUGUUACCGACAAAAUUCCAUGAAUAGUUGAAUACCAAUUCUUUAUGACGUAGGCAUGAAUAUAUACCAGUUAAUCAGUUAACAAAUGGAAUAAUAUAUUUGAGGAAAAACCCAGAAAACCGCCUGAAUUAAGAAGAGGAACCCCGUGAAAAGGGGGAAUAGCAGGAAAAAACAAUUCAUCGAAGAAUCCAAGAUAUAAGUAGCCAAGUUGCUAGGAUUUGGCUCGUUAAUUAAUACGUUAAAUUAAGUUGAGGGUUUUUAUUUGUAGGGCAAAAAACCGACUAGCUACCGGGACUGGUGGACGAUCACCAACAACUCUCUUCUUAAUUAACCAGAUUAAUAGAGAGCAUAACUGUAUCUUGCAGGUCCAAGUCUCUCUGCAAAAUUAUACUAUAACGUUUAUUUCUGAAUAUCUGAUAAUUCUGAUCGAUCUAAGACAAACAAAGCGUGCCUAACACGAACCGUGUGUGUGGAUUUAAAAAUGGUUGAAGGAAAUAUCUGGGAAUUUUGUAUAGAAGCAGGUGCACUUGGGCAUAUAGGUCACUGGGAUAAAGGCAUUCUGGACCAACUCGUUUUUUGGUUUCAUGGAAAGGACACCAUUGAUACCAUCUUAAGUGGUAGUUUUCUAAAUGAAGCACUGCAAAGCUCCAAGAGGAUAGUGGCAAUGCUGGGACGAAGGAGAGCUACGGAUCCUAUGGUUGAAAUGACAGACCACUCAAAUCAGACCACAUUCAUUUCUUCAGUUUCAGGCCAUAAAAUGAAAAUUUAAAAGACUUCUCUUUCAGUAAGGGAGCCUUUUCGUCCCUAUGGAAAAAAAUAAAGCUACCCUUUUUCGUUAGCUUUUCGAAUAUUGUAGACUGAAAUGAGAUUAUAAUUGCAUGUUCAAAUUAUGAUUAGCAGAAAAAAAAAAAAAAAAAAAAAAAAAAAAAAAAAACCUAACUACUACUAACAUUUGGUCAUCAAUAUAAGUAGGAAUUCAUUCUGUAUAAGUAAAUAAAACUAGACCACAUGCAUUUCUUUGAUUUUAGGUCGAAAAAAAAGCUACUCUUUUUAUGUCAAAUUUGAGUGCUCUCUUUCAAAAAGCGACACAAUUUUGUCUAGAUGAUAACAAUUGAAGUGGCGGUUUUUGUUUAUAGGUUGAACAAUAAAUCAAACAAAAAUCAACUAGAUUGAGAAUUUUUUUCAAAGAACAAAUCACAUUUGGUAAAUUCACGUUCAUUCGGUCACUAACUGACUAAAAGUUUAUGCUCAACCACCCUUUGCUAGAGUUGUUUUGUCUUCAACCUUUAGAAGUAAAUGAAUGGGUAAUUAUUGAACAUGAAUUUUUUGGUCUCAGGAGAAUAACACUAUAUGAUAUUUAGUCACGAACAUUUGUUUUUCUUUUAUUUUUGUUCUUUAGAAUGUAUUUGGUCAUGAACAUGAACCAGAUUGACAUUAUCUCACAGAUCUAAUCACAUUUAACGAGCAAAUAAAUAAGAAAGUUAAUUAGCUAGAAUCUUAUCUCAUAUCACAUUAAUGAGUAAUGAUAUUGAUGAAGGGUCCAGUUCAAGGGACAUUAAAUUUGACACAAAUUUUGACACUAAUUGUUAACCAUUAGAUUUUAAAACAUUGAAUGGUCUAGAUUAAUCUUAAAUAUGAUGUCAACAUAUUACUAAUUGAUGUGGCAAGUGACGUGAUAUUACUUGGUUUAAUAACAAAUCAAAUUAAAAGAAAAGAAGGAAAAAUAACACUUUAAAAUCUGGAAAACAAAAUCUAAUUUUUACUAUUAAAAGAAGAAGAACAAGAUCGACAGAAAAAAAAAAAAAACCCUAAAUUUCCAAACUUUGUUGGUAUUUCCAGACACUAAUUUUGAGUUGUUGUAGUGUUCUCCCAAAGAGUAUACUAGGGCUUCUUCUAUUCAUUAUAUUCUUGAUCUGUAGGUUCGAUCAUCACUUUGAGCUGAAUUUAAAAAAGAAUUUCAUAUAUAUUUGAUAUGUCUAACAACAUCAAAUUUCCGACUCGAGUAAAUACAAAAUCAUCACAAAAAUUUGAGCCAAGGAUUCAAAUCCGAUGGAAUGGAUGAUAACAUCCAGCAAGUGGCAACUUUGUUAUUUUACCAAGGAAUUAAGCUAAAGUAAAUUAGUGUGAGGAUUUUGCUACUGUGUUUGAUAUGUUCUUCUUCUUUUAAUCUUGUUUUUCAGAUUUUAAAAUGUAAUUUUUCAUUCUUUUUUUUUAAUUUGAUUUGUUAUUAAACUAGGUAAUGCCAUGUCACUUGCCACAUCAAUUAGUAAUAUGUUGACAUCAUAUUUAUGAUUGAUCUAGACCAGUCAUUGUUUUAAAAUCUAAUGGCUAACAAUUAGUGUCAAAAUUUAUGUCAAAUUUAAUGUCCCUUGAACCGGACUCAUUGAUGAAUGAUCAUAAACAAUAAUCAAUAUUAUUCUUCCAUCUAAAAAUAUCUGAAAGCUCCAUGUGAGAGGGAAUACAAGAAAAUCGAAACUCUCUGACCCGACUUCAAAAAACAAAGAAAAAAAGAGAAGGGCCAAAUCUAGAAAACAAUAAGAGCCCCAAGGACCAAAAGCAAAAUAGACAACAAACCCACGUGUCCUCCAUCCCCAAUCCUCAACGGCGCUCCACUCUGACCACUCGUGGUGUUAGUGGCGCUGCCACUAGUGGUGUUUGUGGUGGUGGUAGUGCUGCUUGUCCCGGUGGCUACCAAGCUCAAUGGACCGUACGCGACGAGGUUUUGAGACCCAAACUCGUGCUUCUCGAGAUAGCCUGUGGUUUUGUUGAUUCCGGGGCCGACUUGCCAGACCUGGUUCACAGUCUCCGCCUUCUCGGGAACCUUGACGGUAGCGAAGAUCGUUAGGGUUCCGCUGGCGAGCUCGGCGCUGGUGUCCCAGAAGUCGAAGGCGAGCUUUCCGGGAGUGAGGAUGUUGUAAGAGGUGAUGUUGAGGGUUUUGAUGGCCGGGAUGCCGUCUUCUUUGGUGUAGGCGACGAUGGCUUGAGCGCCGGACAUUUUGGUGCCGGUGGGGUUGAUGGCCCAGGCGAUCCAGCCGCCGGGCUUGGAAGGGGCGGCGACGAAGGCGACGGCGAGGGAGGAGUUGGAGGCGUUGUAGGAGUAGUAGAGGUGGGAGUCGAGGGCGGAGAGGACGGUGCAGUUGGCGAAGACCUUGUUGUUCUUGAACUUGGUGGAGGGGCAGGCGGUGGCUGCCUGAGAGGGGGAGAUUAGAAGAGCCGAGAGGGAGACCAGGAGGAAGAGGAGGAGGGGAGAGAAGGAAGCCAUUGGGGAGAGAGUGAGAGUGAGUAGUGCUUGCUUUGCUAAAUGGAAGGGAAGCUUUAAGCAAGUAGGGUUAUUUAUAUCCAUGGCCGGAGUGAGGUGUGGAGAUAAACGUGGAGCUUCAAUGUUU